rnacentral:tRNA from 1 species
GCCCGGGUGGUUUAAGGGUAGAAUACUUGCUUGCCAUGACGGAUAGCGAGUGGUCCGAGUUCGAGUCUCGGCCCGGGCA